GGGUUGUGAGGUUAAGCGACUAAGCGUACACGGUGGAUGCCCUGGCAGUCAGAGGCGAUGAAGGGCGUGCUAAUCUGCGAUAAGCGCCGGUAAGGUGAUAUGAACCGUUAUAACCGGCGAUACCCGAAUGGGGAAACCCAGUGUGAUUCGUCACACUAUCAUUAACUGAAUCCAUAGGUUAAUGAGGCGAACCGGGGGAACUGAAACAUCUAAGUACCCCGAGGAAAAGAAAUCAACCGAGAUUCCCCCAGUAGCGGCGAGCGAACGGGGAGGAGCCCAGAGCCUGAAUCAGCAUGUGUGUUAGUGGAAGCGUCUGGAAAGGCGCGCGAUACAGGGUGACAGCCCCGUACACAAAAGCGUAUGUGCUGUGAGCUCGAUGAGUAGGGCGGGACACGUGGUAUCCUGUCUGAAUAUGGGGGGACCAUCCUCCAAGGCUAAAUACUCCUGACUGACCGAUAGUGAACCAGUACCGUGAGGGAAAGGCGAAAAGAACCCCGGCGAGGGGAGUGAAAAAGAACCUGAAACCGUGUACGUACAAGCAGUGGGAGCACCCUUUGGGGUGUGACUGCGUACCUUUUGUAUAAUGGGUCAGCGACUUAUAUUCUGUAGCAAGGUUAACCGAAUAGGGGAGCCGGAGGGAAACCGAGUCUUAAUUGGGCGUUAAGUUGCAGGGUAUAGACCCGAAACCCGGUGAUCUAGCCAUGGGCAGGUUGAAGGUUGGGUAACACUAACUGGAGGACCGAACCGACUAAUGUUGAAAAAUUAGCGGAUGACCUGUGGCUGGGGGUGAAAGGCCAAUC
rnacentral:rRNA from 1 species